UACGUAGGGGGCUAGCGUUGUCCGGAAUCAUUGGGCGUAAAGAGCGCGUAGGCGGCUUUGCAAGUCGGAUGUGAAAGCCCUCGGCUCAACCGAGGAAGUGCGUUCGAAACUGCAGAGCUUGAGUACCGGAGAGGGUGGCGGAAUUCCCCAAGUAGAGGUGAAAUGCGUAGAGAUUAGGAAGAACACCAGUGGCGAAGGCGACUUACUGGACUGUAACUGACGCUGAGGAGCGAAAGCCAGGGGAGCAAACGGG
rnacentral:rRNA from 1 species